rnacentral:lncRNA from 1 species
GGGUUCCGCCGCGGGGCUGCGAGCGCGCGCGGGCCAGUUCGGGCCGGGGGCGGGAACCGGCUCGGAUGCUCAGGGACGGUGGGGGUGGCAGGGCCCACCGGCUUGAGGCUGCCUUUCCCGGCGUUCCCUCGUUUAUUGGCUCACUCUUCCUUUCAUCCAUCCAUCCUUUGCGCAACAAUAUUUGAUGGGAAGCCUGCCAAGAGGCAGGGAGAAAGACACAUGGGCAGGAGAAUACCACAUGGAGACACAGACACACGAGGGGAGGAUGCCUGCUGACCAUGGAGGCAGAAGUGGGACUGACGCAUCGAUCAGCUGAGGGAUGCCAAGCACUGCCAGCAAACACCAGAGGCUUGAUGGGGGCGAGUAUUCUCCUGUGCAGGUAUCAGAGGGAGCCUGGCCUUGCAGAUACCUUGAUUCCUGACUUCUGGCCUCUAAAAUGUCCAAUGUGAGUCAGGCAUCUCUCCUGGUGGCUGUCUUCCAUGUGGUGACUUAUGUAUCCAGGAUCCUUCUACUGUGUUUCUCCUCCAUUGCGAAGUCCUUCACUUCCAGCACCUGAGACAUUUUUUGGGUAUAUCUACAAGUGGCAUAUAUCACUUCUGCCCACAUUCACCUGGGUAGAACUCAAUCACAUUGUUUCACCUAACUGCAAGUGAGGCUGUGGAAUAUAGUCUCCCUAUGUGCCCAAGCAGAAGAAACAGGAUUGGUGAGCAUCUAGCCCAUCUCUACCACUAACAGUUUAUCCCCCCUAAUAAAUCAAUACACUGAUGAUCUA